rnacentral:rRNA from 1 species
UCAGGCCUAACACAUGCAAGUCGAGCGGUAGAGGGUUUCGGCCCUUGAGAGCGGCGGACGGGUGAGUAACGCGUGGGAAUCUGGCUUUUAGUGGGGGACAACUUGUGGAAACGCAAGCUAAUACCGCAUACGUCCUAUGGGAGAAAGCAGGGGAUCUUCGGACCUUGCGCUAAAAGAUGAGCCCGCGUCGGAUUAGCUAGUUGGUAGGGUAAAGGCCUACCAAGGCGACGAUCCGUAACUGGUCUGAGAGGAUGAUCAGUCACACUGGAACUGAGACACGGUCCAGACUCCUACGGGAGGCAGCAGUGGGGAAUAUUGGACAAUGGGGGCAACCC